rnacentral:rRNA from 1 species
GAACGCCGUAGCAAUACGGAGUGGCAGACGGGUGAGUAACGCGUGGGAACAUACCCCUCGGUUCGGAAUAACUCAGGGAAACUUGAGCUAAUACCGGAUACGUCCAAGGUUUUAAUCGACCUUGGAGAAAGAUUUAUCGCCGGGGGAUUGGCCCGCGUCUGAUUAGCUUGUUGGUGAGGUAAUGGCUCACCAAGGCGACGACCAGUAGCUGGUCUGAGAGGAUGAUCAGCCACAUUGGGACUGAGACACGGCCCAAACUCCUACGGGAGGCAGCAGUGGGGAAUAUUGGACAAUGGGCGAAAGCCUGAUCCAGCCAUGCCGCGUGAGUGAUGAAGGCCUUAGGGUUGUAAAGCUCUUUUACCCGGGAAGAUAAUGACGGUACCGGGAGAAUAAGCCCCGGCUAACUUCGUGCCAGCAGCCGCGGUAAUACGAAGGGGGCUAGCGUUGUUCGGAAUUACUGGGCGUAAAGCGCACGUAGGCGGAUCCUUAAGUCAGGGGUGAAAUCCCGAGGCUCAACCUCGGAACUGCCUUUGAUACUGGGGAUAUCGAGUCCGGGAGAGGUGAGUGGAACUGCGAGUGUAGAGGUGAAAUUCGUAGAUAUUCGCAAGAACACCAAUGGCGAAGGCGGCUCACUGGCCCGGUACUGACACUGAGGUGCGAAAGCGUGGGGA